UACGUAGGGGGCGAGCGUUGUCCGGAAUCAUUGGGCGUAAAGAGCGUGUAGGCGGCCCGAUAAGUCCGCCGUGAAAGCCCAGGGCUCAACCCUGGGAUGCCGGUGGAUACUGUCGGGCUAGAAUCCGGAAGAGGCGAGUGGAAUUCCUGGUGUAGCGGUGAAAUGCGCAGAUAUCAGGAGGAACACCGGUGGCGAAGGCGGGUCUCUGGGCCGAUAUCGACGCUGAGGAGCGAAAGCGUGGGGAGCGAACAGG
rnacentral:rRNA from 1 species